ensembl:lncRNA
GGACGAGGACUGAAGCAGGUCUAAACCAGCUCUGAACCAGGACUAAACUAGGACUAAACCGAGAUUAAACCCAGACUGUUGGUGCUCAGAUGGAGGCUCUGCAGGUCCAAGCUCACAUGUACCUCUCUGGGGUUCUGAAGGGGGUUUAUACUAUUUUCAUGUCUUCUCCUUCUGGAGUCUUCAGUUUUGAUGAACUGGUCCAAAAUGUUUCAAGGCACUUUCGCCCAAGACGAGUCAACAUCAGGAUGAGUUACAAAGGUCCUUUUGGAAUGACUGAUCUUUGGAGUCAGUUGGAGAUGAAUCGUGCGGUCGAGCAGCGAAACGGAGGCCCUGUCGUCGUUUACGUUUACGCCACAGACUUCGACAGGUCUGGACAAAACCUGCAUUUAUCCUGUAGCCGGAUUCAUGAAGUCACAGGGACGUCGUGUCUUUUCCAGUCCCCACGAUGCCCCACAGUCACAAGUCCUGGAGGGGGCGAUGGCACUACAGCUCAUGAGGAGGUGCAGCUCAUGAGGAGGUACAACUCAUGAGGAGGUUGUGCUGAAUGACAUCAUCGCUGACAUCACGGAGCUCAGACCAUAUAAGGCUCAGUGCAGCUUCCUCUUGUUACUAAAUGAGG